AUUCUACUCCCUCUGUUGCACAAUACAUGCCUUCUAUUUGUCAAAAUAUAUAUGUAUCUAGACAUGUCUUAGUAUAUAGGUACAUCCAUUUUUGGACAAAUGGAAGUCAAGUAUUUUGGAACGGAGGGAAUACACA
rnacentral:pre_miRNA from 1 species